rnacentral:rRNA from 1 species
GUCCUGCAUGAAGAAAUGCUCAACUCCUGAUGCAUGGAGAAAAGAAGGAGGAUGAGGUAGCCAACACUGUGUUUUUAUAUAUAUAUAUUUUAAUUGGGGUAACCCCCAAUAUAUUGGGACAUAUAAAAAAAGACAACUCUGUUCUGCAGAGUAGCUGUUGACAUUAUAGUUGCGCAGGAACUUUGUUGACUCUAGAGAACCUCAGGCAAAUCGCACAUCCCCGUGGCAGCGACUUUGCAUGUGGAUGUCAUCCAUAUCAACUUUCGAUGCCAGUUUCUGCGCCAACCAUAGUGACCACGGGUAAUGGAGAAUCAGGGUUCCAUUCCGUACAGGGACCCUAAGAAUCGGCUACCACAUGCAAGAAAGGCAGCAGGCGCGCAAAUUACCCACUCCCGACGCGGGAAGGUAGUGAUGAC